rnacentral:rRNA from 1 species
GACGAACGCUGGCGGCGUGCCUAAUACAUGCAAGUCGAACGCUUCUUUCCUCCCGAGUGCUUGCACUCAAUUGGAAAGAGGAGUGGCGGACGGGUGAGUAACACGUGGGUAACCUACCCAUCAGAGGGGGAUGACACUUGGAAAAAGGUGCUAAUACCGUUUAACAGUUUAUGCCGCAUGGCAUAAGAGUGAAAGGCGCUUUCGGGUGUCGUUGAUGGAUGGACCCGCGGUGCAUUAGCUAGUUGGUGAGGUAACGGCUCACCAAGGCCACGAUGCAUAGCCGACCUGAGAGGGUGAUCGGCCACACUGGAACUGAGACACGGCCCAGACUCCUACGGGAGGCAGCAGUAGGGAAUCUUCGGCAAUGGACGAAAGUCUGACCGAGCAACGCCGCGUGAGUGAAGAAGGUUUUCGGAUCGUAAAACUCUGUUGUUAGAGAAGAACAAAGACGUUAGUAACUGAACGUCCCCUGACGGUAUCUAACCAGAAAGCCACGGCUAACUACGUG